GAGGGUAUAGCUCAGUGGUAGAGCACAUGCUCCAGCAUGCAUGAGGUCCUGGGUUCAAUCCCCAGUACUUCCU
rnacentral:tRNA from 1 species